rnacentral:lncRNA from 1 species
UUUUUUUUUUGGUCUUUUUGCCUUUUCUAGGGCCACACCUGCAGCAUAUGCAGGUUCCCAGGUCUAAUGGGAGCUGUAGCCACAGGCCUACGCCAGAGCCAUAGCAACACGGGAUCCGAGCCGUGUCUGCAACCCACACCACAGCUCACAGCAAUGCUGGAUCCUCAACCCACUGAGCAAGGCCAGGGAUUGAACCUCCAACUUCAUGGUUCCUAAUCGGAUUCGUUAACCACUGAGCCACGAUGGGAACUCCUAGAAUCUUUAAAUAAAUGUCUGGGCAUUCCCGUUGGGGCUCAGCAGGUUAAGAACCAGACAUAGUGUCUGUGAGACUGCAGGUUUGAUCCUUGGCUUCUCUCAGUGGGUUAAACAUCUGGCUUUGCUGAAAGCUGUGGCAUAAAUCGCAGAUGCAGCUUGGAUCCAGUGUUGUUGUGUCUGUGGUGUAGACCAGCAGCUGCAGCUCUGAUUUAACCCUGUAGCCUGGGAACUUCUAUAUGCCACAGGUGUACCAUAAAAAGAAAAAAAAUAAAAUGUCUGGACAGUGCACACAUAGAGUGUACCACCUUUCUAGGGCUAGAGACCAGGGGCUGUCAUCUCUACCUUUCUAGGAGUUGAAAGUCUUAUCUGAGAUACACUUAGCUUUGUUUCCAUGGAAACUCAAGAUUCUUGUUUAUUGUGUACACCCUACUCCCUACCAGAACAGGAGCUACACAAGGCAAGGUACUGGUUUUGUUCAAGGAUGUGUCCGAGCACCUAGAACAGUGCUUCACAUAUGGUAGGCACUGAACAAAAACGUACUAAGUGAAGGAGCUAACCUUUGUCCAUAUCCUGAUCCUGUGAGGUGUGAUAGCUCCUCAAGAGUGCUAGGCUCAGAGACAGAAGAAGAGAAGAUUGACACUAAAGUAUCUGAGAGAAAAAGAAGCUGAAAGGCCAAAAUUUAACAAUUUGGAAACAAUUCUACUUCAGCACCUGAUCAGUAGAUGAAGCAAUUGUAUUUCUCUCCACCUUACUUUCAUUCGAUCUCUGUUUUACUUACAGCUCGUUAUACCAUUAUACAUUCUCUCCUUCCUUCGGUAAUAGGACCCUUUCAGUUUUAGCUAAGCAAAUGGCAGCCCAACCAAGAACCAUAUUUUCUAGCCUCCCUUGCAUCUAAGCAAGACCAUGUGAUUAAGUUUGGACCAAUAGCAAUGAUGCUAGUAGAAAAGAUGUAUUUCACUUCUGAACCAUGCUUUUCAAAGGUAGGAGGCAUACUCACUCUUAGCCCCUUUUCUUCCUUCCAAUUUACUGUGAUGCCAAUAGGACAACAGAAUCAUCUAGCCUUAGAUUGUCAAGAGGCAGCUGCAUGCCAAGGAAGUCAGAACAGGAACAUAGAAGGAGUGAAGGUUUGUGAUACCAUGGGGUUGCCACAUUAACCCUGGACAGCUCACACCUGGUCAGUUAACAUGAAAGAGAAAUAAUUGUCUGUUCGAUUUAAGACACUGCAAUGUUUGGGCCUUUGUUGUUAUAGCUGAACCUAUGUUGUAACUAAUGUCGUGGACACAAUCAAAAUUAAUCUGGCCUUGGGAGUUCCCAUUGUGGCUCAGUAGGUUAAGAACCUGACUAGUAUCCAUGAGGAUGAGGGUUCCAUCCCUGGCCUUGAUCAGUGGAUUUGGCGUUGCCACAAGUUGCAGCGUAGGUCGCAGAUACAGCUUGGAUUCCAGUUGCUGUGGCUGUGGCAUAUGUGGCAGAGGCAGUUCUGAUGUGACCCCUAGCCUGAACACUUCCACAAGCUGCACCAGGUGCGCCCCUAAAAAAAAAAAAAAAAAAAGAAUCUGGCUCGGAACUUUUCUAUCUUCAAUUGGCUUACAUCACGCUUAUGUCUUUCAGGCUUUUGACAAUGUUAUGUACUCUCUCAUUGUUUCCAUUCAUACAUGCAGCGUAUAUUGUUAUGAAUUAUUAGUUCUCAUUCCUGUUUAGAUCCCUAAGGAACACCAGGUUUCAAAAUAAAGUUGGAGUGAUCAGAACUGGCUGCUUGAAUCCUAUGAACCUGAACCAUGUUGCCCAGUCAUUCUCAGAGUAAAAAGGCUUGCCAUAUGGUAUAAACUUGUUCUCUCAUUAUUUCCAGAGUUCGGUCUCUGCAGUAAGAUGACACUUGCCUUGAGAAAAAAGACCCCGUGUUCCACAUUUCCAAAUCCCACCCAGGCAGUGCUUAGCAGAGUGGAGCAAUUACUAAGAGGUCCAUAGAUAUAUGGAAACCUCUAUAUUAUUAUUAUUAUUAUUAUUUUGCUUUUUUAGAGCUGCACUCGUGGCAUAUGGAGGUUCCCAGGCUAGAGGUCCAAUUGGUGCUAUAGCUGCCAGCCUACACCACACCAUAGCAACGCAGGAUCUGAGCCCUGAGUGCAACCUACACCACAGCUCACGGCAAAGCUGGAUCCUUAACCCACUGAGCAAGGCCAGGGAUUGAACCUACAAUCUCAUGGUUCCUAGUCGGGGUUGUUUCUGCUGCGCCACAAUAGGAACCCAAAACCUCUAUGUUAUUAUCUGUACAGUUUAUCCAGGACUUACUACCACAGAUUACUAGUUAUUAUUUUGUUGGUACAGUCUGUUGUAAUCACUGGCCAAUAUUAACAUGCAAAGAUACUCAAGAGGAGAAGCUAGUCUAUGCUAAGUGACAGAUGAGUGACAGAGGAAGGAAUAUUGGCUUGGCGGCAACUGGCCCCUGCUCUAGAUAUCUUGAUGGCAGACAUCAAAUUCUUACAGAAAAGAAAGAGGAUGGAGAGAAGAUCUUGUGGGGCUAAAGAGACCACCCCAAGCCCCUAAGCCGGUGCCAUGAAGGGAAUGCAAGAUAAACUGGAGGAUAGAACAUUGUACUCAAUGCUUUGGGCAGCAGGCAAGCUUGUUUCUAGCACAAUAGAUGGUGGGUUGAACUGGCUAUAGAACUUCAACCUCAACAAGAACAGAGGCUGGAGCUGCACUGACCUUUUGCUUGGUUCACACCCAGAUCUUCAAAGCAUGGGGAGCAUCUCUAAGCAAGCAAAGCCCAUGUAGUAAAAAAGGUACCAUCUCUUUGGGAAGGAAAGCUGGAUACAACUUCAUAGAAGAGGGGGUUUAAUUCAGAUCCUAAAUUAAGACUAAACAUUAGGACUUCCCACUGUGGCUCAGUGGGUUAAGAACCGACAUAGUAUCCAUGAGGAUGCUGGCUCGAUUCCUGGCCUCAUUCAGUGGGUUAAGGAUCUGACAUUGCUGCAAGCUUUGGCGCUGGUCACAGAUAUGUGACUUGGAUCCUGUGUUACUGUGACUGUGGUGUAGGCCAGCAGCUGCAGCUCUGAUUCAACCCCUAGCCUGGGAACUUCCACAUGCUGAAGGUGCAGCUGUAAAAGGGGGAAAAAAAAAAAAAAAAAGACUAAACCUUAGAAACAUAGUAUUCUGGAGCUUGAAGGUAUGGAGGGAGGAUUGGCAGCAUGAACAACAGUCUAGAAUCAGGAAAAAGUAUACCCUGCUCAGAGUUAACAGUUCUCCUAGAAGGUAGAAUGGAUAUAUUUUAAUUAGUUUGUCUAACUUUCCUUGCUUUCAGGAAUUGCUUCUCCAUUAUCCUGCCGUCCACCAGUGGAAAUGGAUGUGGGACUAAGUCUAUCCAAUCAGGACCCUCUAUGCCCCUGGCCUGCACCUUGGAACGUCUCUGGACUAGGCAUGACCUAGGCAGAGCACUUUGGGGAGAUUAAUAAGGAUAUGAGUAUAAGGGAUUACUUUCUCCUUUCUGUGCUUGCAGCUAUGAAGACUGAAUUUCCCUCUGCCAUGGGCCUCACUGCCAUUACCAAGAAGAAGGCUGCCUAAGACUUAAGCCAGCUUGGAAGGAUGAAGAGCCAAGAGGGGAACUGAGGAGAUCUGGGGACCGAGUUUGGAUCUUGGAGCCCACUGUGCCUGGAGCAAAAUUCUCCCCCCUCCCUCUCCACCCCAGACUUUCCAGUUAUAGGAACAAAGCAGUUCCUCUUAUGUUUCUGCUGUGGAGUGUUUCUGUCCCUUGUAACCGAAAGAGACCUGACUAAUGUGGGAGUAACUGAAGAUAAGAUUAGAAAGUAGAUAUAGCUGGGUUACAGAGGCCCUAAAUGCUACACGAAAAGGUUUGGACUUGAUUUAAAAAUUUUUUUUAAUUAAAAUUUUUUUUCUUUUUUUGGACGUUUUUGGUUUUUGUUGCACCCACAGCGUGCAGAAGUUCCUGGGACAAAGAUUUAAUCCUUACCACAGCAGUGACCCAAGCCACAACAGUGACAACACCAGAUCCUCAACACAAUAGGCCACCAGGGGACACCUGGACUAGUUUUUGAAGAUGAAAAGAUGAAUUCAUUUAAAUUAAGAGGCUGUUAGUGUUGUACUCAGUGGUGGCUCUGUGGAAAGAACAUAACCAGGGGAGGCUUCCAGCCUUAUCAACUCCUGGCAAUGCAUCUCUGCAAACCCCAGGCUACCGAAUCCCCAUCUGCAGAGUGAGGGUCACUCCAUAUCCCUUGCUGGGCUGCUGUGAGGAAGACAGGUUCAACACCUAAUGCAAGGUCUGGCAAGCUAUAGGCAUGUUGGGUCUUCACAGAGGGACUGUGGUGGCAGUCAAGGUGACAGGAGAAGAUGAAGGAGGAGGAGCCAGAGGGAGAGGAGGAGAAGGGGGGAUACUUCUUGGACUAGGUUGGCAGGAGUGGGAGUGAGGAAGAAAGAUGGUGGUGAGAGCCACUGGCAAACAUCACCAGGACUGCCUGUCACCUGCACAUGGAGUAGGAGGAGAAGGAACGUCAGUGAUGAUCCGAGGUAAAAACAUGCAUAGAAUGAACUGAUUCUCGACCUUCUUUUUCAUCCACACCACCAAAAAUAGAAAACCUGGGAGUGCCUAUCGUGGCACAGUGGAAACGAAUCUGACUAGUAUCCAUGAGGAUGUUGGUUCGAUCCCUGGCCUUGCUCCAUAGUCGGCAAUCCCCUGUUGCUGUGGGGUGUAGGCUGGCAGCUAUAGCUCCAAUCUGACCCCUGGCCUGGGAACUUGCAUGUGCCACAGGUGCAGGCCCUAAAAAGCAAAAAAAGAAAAAAAAAAAAGAAAAGAAAAAAGAAAACCCAACAACAAUGAAAAGCACCGUGUGUGUGUGUGUGUGUGUGUGUGUGUGUUUGUGCAUGUGUUUGUGUGCAGGAGAGGAAGCUGCAGGCCUGGUUGAGGGUUCUUCCUCUCCUGUGCCAACUAAGAACUUGGCAGGUUCCUGUGCAAAAUGGGAAUUCAGGCCUGGCAUCCACGGGGAGGCCAAGAGGAAAGUACCAGGUUGAACCUUGUAAUAGCCUUCCACACCCUUUGGCUCAGAUAGCUGAGAGCUAUGUUAUCCUCGAAAAUGAAUCAGAACCUAAAGUCCCGCAACCUCCUGGAGUUGCUUCUUCCCACAUGAGAGCAUUUGCAUGGCAACUUCCUCUUCAGGCAUCCUAAUGGUUGCUGGCACGGGGGCCCCUGAACUGGAAAAACUCUUCAAGGAGUCAACUGAGGGGCUGGUUGUCCUUAGACUCAGGGAAAGAGCUUUGGGAGAC